rnacentral:lncRNA from 1 species
CGGCGAGAGGUGGCAGCGCGGCACAUCUUCGACGACCACCACUGUGACGACAACUGCCGCCUUCUCGCUGGACGCGCAUUGCUCUUCCUCCCUCCCCGAUUCGCCUCCCCUGUUCCCUUCCCCUUCUCUCCUGGGGCUGGGCGUUCUUGGAGCUACAGCUUCUGGUCGCAUAGGUGGCCGGUCCGCAAAGGGGAGGGGCAGCCGCGCCUGCUCCGUCCUUGGCUCCGCCCUGCUCUUGCUGCUGCUCUCGCUCGGCUCCGCCGCCGCGCGGAAGGGCUCCACCUGGAAGAACCUGAGUGGUAAGCUCGAUUCGCGGUGCUUCACCUCCUUUUGUGCAAGGUUCCGCAAUACUGUGUGCGUGUGUGAUCUGAUCUGGGCCGAUUUGCUGCUACGCUUCGCUUAAAGAUCAUUUUUUUUCUUGGAACUGCAAAUUUGUGUUUGUUCUCCUGCUUGGGCUGGAUCUUUAGGAUGAGAACGAACUGGAUGCGCAUUUCUUUCUUUCUUUCUUUUUUUGUUUAGCUGAAGCUUCAUUUUCUGUAGCAUAAUAGUUUUUGUUUGUCAUCAGUAAUGUUUGGGAGACUAGAUUUCUGAUUGGAAGCUUGGGACCGGCUAUGAUGCUUACCUUUUAUCACUUCCUAAAAAAAUUACAGGUAGCCUUUCCAGGUGAAUGACAUUUGGUUGGGAAUGAUAGCAACCUCUUUGGGAUUAGUUUACAUAACCAUGCUCUAGUACAAGCCUUGAGUAAUCAAUUUCACUUCAUAGCGAGAAAUACGUGUAAAAUCACUAGCUGUAGCUGUAGGCAUCUACUGUUCAUUGGUUGGUUGCUUAUGUGGCCAUGGGGAUUGUCUGUUGCGACUUGCGAGAAUGGGAGUGGAUCACUUCGAUGAAUAUGAAUUCGAGUCUAAUUUCUCUCUUGCGACAAUUCACUGAUAUGAAUUCUAGUUCCUGUCGUGGCAGUGUGCUUAGGGUCCAGUACCUCCAGCCUUCCUCAAGCCUAGCACUAAUAAUCAUCUCAUUGUUUUAGGCAAGGCUCCAGCAAUCCUUGCUAAGGGCGUGUUCUCAGGCCUUGUUCCUAAUUCCAGUGGUCUCGCUUAUCAAUUUACUGGAAUUGCUUAUCAAAUUUAACUUGCACAACAUGAUUAUGAAGAAGUGAGGAUAAUAGGUCUGUGUUUGUUCCUCUCAGAGAAGUGAGGAAGCAUAACUAAACUUAAUUUAGAAGAGUGUAGUCAUGACUAUGCUCAUACCUCUUUCUAUGCGUCUGCUACAUAUAGUUAAUUGUAGGCAACCAAAAUUUUCAAUUCUAUUGGAAAUAAGUAGGAAUAAACUGACAACUGAUUUUAUAAUUCAUCUCUAUCAAAGGAGGCACAAGCUUAGUCUUGCCUGCACAGUUCUAAAUCAAGUCCAUUUUCUUUGAGCUAUAUUUAAGGAGGCAGCUUGUCCAUUUCUGUUUUCAUGGAUCGAGAUUCUUUUCUGUUCCCCAAUUACGGCAAUGAACCGUAGCCUCCUUUUUGUCUUAGCUAUGGUGUAUGUUAAUGCUAUAUGUUUAAUUUUCAGGACCUUCUAGAUGACGUUAGGAUUGCUCAAGAGAAGAAACUUGAAGAACUGAAGAGGCAACAGGAGGUUCCAGACUCUAUUUUAUCUUGAUCAAGACUGAAAGAUUGAAAAGAUGUUGCUAUUUUUUCUUGAUCAAGACUCUAUUUUUGUUUGCUACUUCUCCCUCAUUUGAGGCCAGAAAAGGAUGUUGCUACUUUUUGUUUGCUACCUGUCAAACAAGUGUUUUCAUUUCUAACCAAAAUGAAUGGCUGUAAAAAGGACCAGGUUUGAUUCCUGGGCCGGAUCCAUUGGUGAUCAGGUUUUAGUGAACCACCUGGAUUCACUCGAUCCAACCCAGGAAUGAAAACAGGCCUGUUUCCAAACCUAGCUUGCGGAACGAGGC